AGAACAGUGACACUUCAUUGGCCAGUGGAAGAAAUUAACCCACAAUGAUGUUGAUGCUAUUUCUAAGAGGCCUGUGGAGAAGAGAGGAAGCCUGCCAUUGUAGCCUUGUGGUAUAGAAUCCUAGUUGUUAAAAGAGCUUUGGCGAUGCCAGACCUAAGAGAUGCAAAUGAAACAGAACUUUAGAAGAAACACAGGCCCAGAUUGAAUACGAAAUCAUGGAAGCUAUUGACAGAAACUCUCUUGGUGAAGGUUGUUUCUUUCUCCAUACAGAGCUCACCAGAGUACCACCUGUCAUUUUCAAAAGCAAAGUCAGUUUUGCCAACCAGCCGUGAAUGACAAACAAAGCUUUAUAUGAAACACAA